GUUUGAUCCUGGCUGAGGAUGAACGCUGGCGGCGUGCUUAACACAUGCAAGUCGAACGAUGAUCCCAGCUUGCUGGGGGAUUAGUGGCGAACGGGUGAGUAACACGUGAGUAACCUGCCCUUGACUCUGGGAUAAGCCUGGGAAACUGGGUCUAAUACCGGAUACGACCAUCUGGCGCAUGUCAUGGUGGUGGAAAGCUUUUGUGGUUUUGGAUGGACUCGCGGCCUAUCAGCUUGUUGGUGGGGUAAUGGCCUACCAAGGCGACGACGGGUAGCCGGCCUGAGAGGGUGACCGGCCACACUGGGACUGAGACACGGCCCAGACUCCUACGGGAGGCAGCAGUGGGGAAUAUUGCACAAUGGGCGCAAGCCUGAUGCAGCGACGCCGCGUGAGGGAUGACGGCCUUCGGGUUGUAAACCUCUUUCAGUAGGGAAGAAGCGAAAGUGACGGUACCUGCAGAAGAAGCGCCGGCUAACUACGUGCCAGCAGCCGCGGUAAUACGUAGGGCGCAAGCGUUAUCCGGAAUUAUUGGGCGUAAAGAGCUCGUAGGCGGUUUGUCGCGUCUGCUGUGAAAGACCGGGGCUCAACUCCGGUUCUGCAGUGGGUACGGGCAGACUAGAGUGCAGUAGGGGA
rnacentral:rRNA from 1 species